rnacentral:rRNA from 1 species
GGGAUAACGUUUGGAAACGAACGCUAAUACCGCAUAAGACCACACUUCCACAUGGGAGAGGGGUCAAAGGAGCAAUCCGCUGAAAGAUGGGCUCGCGUCCGAUUAGAUAGUUGGGGGGGUAACGGCCCACCAAGUCGACGAUCGGUAGCCGGACUGAGAGGUUGAACGGCCACAUUGGGACUGAGACACGGCCCAGACUCCUACGGGAGGCAGCAGUGAGGGAUAUUGGUCAAUGGGGGAAACCCUGAACCAGCAACGCCGCGUGAGGGAAGACGGUUUUCGGAUUGUAAACCUCUGUCCUCUGUGAAGAUAAUGACGGUAGCAGAGGAGGAAGCUCCGGCUAACUACGUGCCAGCAGCCGCGGUAAUACGUAGGGAGCGAGCGUUGUCCGGAUUUACUGGGUGUAAAGGGUGCGUAGGCGGGUAAGCAAGUCAGAAGUGAAAUCCAUGGGCUUAACCUAUGAACUGCUUUUGAAACUGUUUAUCUUGAGUGAAGUAGAGGUAGGCGGAAUUCCCGGUGUAGCGGUGAGAUGCGUAGAGAUCGGGAGGAACACCAGUGGCGAAGGCGGCCUACUGGGCUUUAACUGACGCUGAAGCACGAAAGCGUGGGUAGCAAACAGGAUUAGAUACCCUGGUAGUCCAUGCCGUAAACGAUGAUUACUAGGUGUGGGGGGACUGACCCCCUCCGUGCCGGAGU